rnacentral:ncRNA from 1 species
AAAAGACUUAGUCCUAACCUUACUGUUAGCUCGUGCUAAACCUAUACAUGCAAGUAUCCGCGCCCCAGUGUAAAUGCCCUUAGCCUCUUAUUAAGAUGACAGGAGCUGGCAUCAGGCACACCCUUCACGUCCGUAGCCCAAGACGCCUUGCUUAGCCACACCCCCACGGGCACUCAGCAGUAAUUAACAUUAAGCAAUAAGUGUAAACUUGACUUAGUUAUAGCAUACCCUAGGGUUGGUAAAUCUUGUGCCAGCCACCGCGGUCAUACAAGAGACCCAAGCUAACAACGUUCGGCGUAAAGAGCGGGUCCUUACUAUCUAAGUAACUAGGGCUAAAUCGCAACUGAGCCGUCAUAAGCCCAAGAUGUGCCUAAAGCCGCCACCUAAGACGACCCUAGCACCUACGAUUGACUAACCCCCGCGAAAGCCAGGGUCCAAACUGGGAUUAGAUACCCCACUAUGCCUGGCCCUAAAUCUUGAUACUUACCCCACCAAAGUAUCCGCCUGAGAACUACGAGCACAAACGCUUAAAACUCUAAGGACUUGGCGGUGCCCCAAACCCACCUAGAGGAGCCUGUUCUAUAAUCGAUAACCCACGCUGCACCCCACCACUUCUUGCACAUAGCAGCCUACAUACCGCCGUCGCCAGCUCACCUCUUCUGAGAGCUUAGCAGUGAGCACAAUAGCUUUCCCCCGCUAAAAAGACAGGUCAAGGUAUAGCUCACGAAGUGGAAGAAAUGGGCUACAUUUUCUAGAGUAGAAAACUACACGGAAGGGGGCAUGAAAUGGCCCCCGGAAGGCGGAUUUAGCAGUAAACUGGGACAAUAGAGCCCUAUUUAAGCUGGCCCUGGGGCACGUACAUACCGCCCGUCACCCUCCUCGUAGGCCGUAUUCCUCAUAACUAAUAACCCAACAUGCCAAAGAUGAGGUAAGUCGUAACAAGGUAAGUGUACCGGAAGGUGUACUUAGCAUACC